rnacentral:tRNA from 2 species
GCCCGGAUGGCGGAAUCGGUAGACGCAGCAGACUCAAAAUCUGCCGGCCUUCGGGUCUUGUGGGUUCGAGUCCCACUCCGGGUA